UGUGUUUUGUUUGGAUGAUAUUAGAACAAUUUCAAUAUGAAAGUGCAGGUGUCUUUAGACAUGAGCCAUAAUGUAUAUAUCAAAAUACUUAUAAAAUCCGUUUCCAGCUUGAUUGUAUUUACAUUGUUGCAGACAUAGUUGUGCAAUGGUGGGCUUAUGUCACAUACUCGUAUGUAAUUCCAUGUGCAUGCUUGUACUUUGAUGCCUUAAGAGAUGCUUCAAAUGUGUAAUAAAGGGCUGUUCGCAGGAGUUGGUUUGUCUGGCCUUAAAUUGCAUUGUUUUUAUGUUAUUUUAAUAUUGUAUUCAUAUGGCUAGCUGGACCAUCUUGCCAUUGCCACAAUGUCUGAAGUUCAAGCAGGCGUUAAAAUCAGGUUACAAUUCAUGCUUGAAAAUAUGCAACAAUUUCACUGCUAAUAAUAUUCCAGAAAAUCCUGCCUCUUAGGCAGAUCUGGACUGAUUUGUCUGAGGGGGUUGGAGGUUUUCUACUUGUGAUCGGGCAAGGGGAGCUAGCCAAGGGUGCUGGGUCAGAGUCAAACUCAUGCGAACAGCUUCUAAGGUCCUAAUUAUAUUGAUAAAUUAUGUACACUUUGGGAUGGUAAUGUAUGGUAAAAUAUUCCACAUUUUGUUUAAAACUCUUUUGCAUCUCAAGCCAGUCGCGUCAUCCGCUAGCGGUUGACGGCGAGAAAUUUUUAUAUCUUCGGUUCAGUGCGUGCUAUGAAGACAGAAAUACCACCAUUCGAUUCAGAAAUAAAAGAUUCAACUAAUUCCUCGCUAUAGUUAUAGUCAUUAUCAACAUUGUAGUGAUUUAUGGGCCUUUGAAGUCAAACACGAUAAUAUUGUAUCAAAUUACGCAAUUGUCUGAACAAAAAU